GGAAAAGAAACCAACAGGGAUUGCCCCAGUAACGGCGAGUGAAGCGGCAACAGCUCAAAUUUGAAAUCGGCCCCCCGGUCGAGUUGUAAUUUGCAGAGGAUGCUUCUGGGCAGCGGCCGGUCUAAGUUCCUUGGAACAGGACGUCACAGAGGGUGAGAAUCCCGUAUGUGACCGGCGCGCACCCUCCACGUAGCUCCUUCGACGAGUCGAGUUGUUUGGGAAUGCAGCUCUAAAUGGGAGGUAAAUUUCUUCUAAAGCUAAAUACCGGCCAGAGACCGAUAGCGCACAAGUAGAGUGAUCGAAAGAUGAAAAGCACUUUGGAAAGAGAGUUAAAAAGCACGUGAAAUUGUUGAAAGGGAAGCGCUUGCAACCAGACUUGCCGGCGGUGUUCAACCGGUCUUUUGACCGGUCCACUCACCGCCGGCAGGCCAACAUCGUCUGGGGCCGCCGGAUAAGACGUCGGGAAUGUAGCUCCUCGGAGUGUUAUAGCCCUUCGUGAUGCGGCGCGCCCCGGGCGAGGUCCGCGCUUCGGCAAGGAUGUUGGCGUAAUGGUCGUUAGCGGCCCGUCUUGAAACACGGACCAAGGAGUCGAACAUCUGUGCGAGUGUUUGGGUGUCAAACCCGGACGCGUAAUGAAAGUGAACGGAGGUGGGAGCUUCGGCGCACCAUCGACCGAUCCUGAUGUCCUCGGAUGGAUUUGAGUAAGAGCAUAGCUGUUCGGACCCGAAAGAUGGUGAACUAUGCCUGAAUAGGGUGAAGCCAGAGGAAACUCUGGUGGAGGCUCGCAGCGGUUCUGACGUGCAAAUCGAUCGUCAAAUUUGGGUAUAGGGGCGAAAGACUAAUCGAACCAUCUAGUAGC
rnacentral:rRNA from 1 species